rnacentral:ncRNA from 1 species
CUCACUUUCUCGACAAUUUGGGGGAAGCACAAGGAUUCCUCUAGUAGCGGUGAGCGAACUGGGAGCAGUCCAGCUUGAGAAUGGGUGGCUUCACUCCCCGAAUUGUAGUGUGAAGAGGCAUCCUCAGAGACAGACCGGGCUCAAGGAAAGGGAUACCUAGGAGGGUGAGAGCUCUGUCCAGCCCGAACCUUGUGUCACCGCGAGACGUCGUCAAUGAGUUGAGUUGUUUGGGAAUGCAGCCCAAAUCAGGCGUUAAAUUCCGUCCAAGACUAAAUACAGGUGAGAGAUUUAUUGCGAACAAGUACCGUGAGG